rnacentral:rRNA from 1 species
AGAGUUUGAUCAUGGCUCAGGACGAACGCUGGCGGUGUGCCUAAUACAUGCAAGUCGAGCGACGCAUAUCGGAGGGGUAACCCACUGGUAUGACGGAGCGGCGAACGGGUGCGUAACACGUGAGCAACCUGCCCCACAGACCGGGAUAGCCCGAGGAAACUCGGAUUAAUACCGGAUACCCUCACCGGACCGCAUGGCCUGGUGAGGAAAGACUUUUGUGCUGUGGGAUGGGCUCGCGGCCUAUCAGCUAGUUGGUGAGGUAACGGCUCACCAAGGCAACGACGGGUAGCUGGUCUGAGAGGAUGAUCAGCCACACUGGAACUGAGACACGGUCCAGACUCCUACGGGAGGCAGCAGUAGGGAAUCUUGCGCAAUGGGCGAAAGCCUGACGCAGCAACACCGCGUGAGGGAUGACGGCCUUCGGGUUGUAAACCUCUUUCAGGAGGGACGAAAAUGACGGUACCUCCAGAAGAAGCCCCGGCCAACUACGUGCCAGCAGCCGCGGUAAUACGUAGGGGGCAAGCGUUGUCCGGAAUCAUUGGGCGUAAAGAGCUCGUAGGCGGCUCAGUAAGUCGAUCGUGGAAGACCGGGGCUCAACCCCGGGGCGUCGGUCGAUACUGCUGUGGCUUGAGUCCGGUAGAGGAAGAUGGAAUUCCCGGUGUAGCGGUGAAAUGCGCAGAUAUCGGGAGGAACACCAGUAGCGAAGGCGGUCUUCUGGGCCGGAACUGACGCUGAGGAGCGAAAGCGUGGGUAGCAAACAGGAUUAGAUACCCUGGUAGUCCACGCCGUAAACGAUGGAUACUAGGUGUGGCGGAUCGUCAACGACUGCCGUGCCGAAGCUAACGCAUUAAGUAUCCCGCCUGGGGAGUACGGCCGCAAGGCUAAAACUCAAAGGAAUUGACGGGUCCCCGCACAAGCGGCGGAGCAUGCGGCUUAAUUCGAUGCAACCCGAAGAACCUUACCUGGCCUUGACAUAAUGGGUCUACCCUUGGAAACAAGGGGUGCUUUGCGCUCAUUACAGGUGGUGCAUGGCUGUCGUC